GAUGAACGCUGGCGGCGUGCUUAACACAUGCAAGUCGAACGAUGAAGCCCAGCUUGCCGGGUGGAUUAGUGGCGAACGGGUGAGUGACACGUGAGUAACCUGCCCUUAACUCUGGGAUAAGCCUGGGAAACUGGGUCUAAUACCGGAUAGGAGCGUCCACCGCAUGGUGGGUGUUGGAAAGAUUUAUCGGUUUUGGAUGGACUCGCGGCCUAUCAGCUUGUUGGUGAGGUAAUGGCUCACCAAGGCGACGACGGGUAGCCGGCCUGAGAGGGUGACCGGCCACACUGGGACUGAGACACGGCCCAGACUCCUACGGGAGGCAGCAGUGGGGAAUAUUGCACAAUGGGCGCAAGCCUGAUGCAGCGACGCCGCGUGAGGGAUGACGGCCUUCGGGUUGUAAACCUCUUUCAGUAGGGAAGAAGCGAAAGUGACGGUACCUGCAGAAGAAGCACCGGCUAACUACGUG
rnacentral:rRNA from 1 species